CUCACCAAUACGGUGAAAGUUACAGUAUGGGAAAGCAGUCCCAGAGUGUGGAAAAAGAGAAUUUGUGGCAUAAGAGGGAGGGAAGGAACUCUCUAGCAAGCUCAAGCCCACUGGAACAGCUGGUUUUGGUUUUUCAGCUCAGCUAGCCAGGGAUAAAAAGAGAAAUUACUUCAGCCACUUAGUUCAUCAAGAUUGUAUUGAACAACCUCAGGUGGGAAGCAUCAGGCCAUAGGGAGCUUAGACCUGUUAAAGGAUGUGGGAUGUAUGAAUUACACAGAUGGAAUAAAGGAUUUUAGUUAGGUAGACAGACAAAAAAACAGAAGGCUUUAGUGUAACAGCAUCACUUCCUCUCUCUCAGUUUCUCUGCUCUGCCUCCACUCUUUUCUCACCAAGAAAGGGAGGAAAAGCAAGGAUCAGAGUGCUCCAGAAACCCAGACAGCUGCUGCCAGCAAAGAGGAAGAGAAAUCAAGAGAAGUGCUCAGCUUUGGAAACCUGGCUCCAUUCCCAGUGGAACUAGUGUCAGAACCAAUGCCCCAAAGUGUACCCAGAGGACUACAGGGAGCCAGAACAGCUCUGAGGGCAGGGUAUUUUAUCCCAUAUUCUCUCUCAGCUGCAGCACUGAAUCAUGCCACCUUCAGACUAUGUAACUGGUUAGCCACAUGGAAGAUUGCCUUAACCUAGGCUCUCUUGGUCAUGGGUUUGGGACACAGCUUGAGAAAGGCUCUGCACUGGAAUGGGGAAGCGCCGUAAUGCACCUGCAGCAAUCACACAGACAUGAAGCACAGGUCUCUGCAGCACCAGGCGUCCAAACACAUGGUCUCCAACACAACCUGAAGCAGAUCCAGGGGAUGCUCAAGGUUCAGGGACCACUGAGAAAGCUCUCUUCCAUGAUAAUUCUUGGCUGCAGCCGUAGGAAGUAUCAUCCAUGGGAGCUCCAGGUGAGGAUAAUGCAGGGCAUUGUGGGGGAAGACUACUGCAGCUGCCUUCCCA
rnacentral:lncRNA from 1 species